rnacentral:rRNA from 1 species
ACUGCUCAGUAACACGUGGCUAACGUGCCCUUUGGGACGGAGAUACCCCCGGGAAACUGGGGCUAAUCCCCGAUAGGUGAAGAACUCUGGAAUGAAUCUCCAUCCAAAAGACGUUUACGUUAUGCUCGUAGGCGCCGCCCAAGGAUGGGGCCGCGUCCGAUCAGGUUGUUGGUGAGGUAACGGCUCACCAAGCCUUUUACCGGUGCGGGCCGUGAGAGCGGGAGCCCGGAGAUGGGCACUGAGACAAGGGCCCAGGCCCUACGGGGCGCAGCAGUCGCGCAAACUUUGCAAUACACGAAAGUGUGACAGGGCUAUCCCGAGUGCCAUCCGCUGAGGAAGGCUUUUACCCAGUUUAGAAAGCUGGGAGAAUAAGGAGAGGGCAAGACUGGUGUCAGCCGCCGCGGUAAUACCAGCUCUCCGAGUGGUGUGGAUGUUUAUUGGGCCUAAAGCAUCCGUAGCUGGCUGGGCAAGUCCCCUGUUAAAUCCACCGAUUUAAUCGUUGGUGUGCGGGGGAUACUGCUCGGCUAGGGGACGGGAGAGGCCGACGGUAUUUUCGGGGUAGGGGUGAAAUCCUAUAAUCCCGGAAGGACCACCAGUGGCGAAGGCUGUCGGCUAGAACGCGCCCGACGGUGAGGGAUGAAAGCUGGGGGAGCGAACCGGAUUAGAUACCCGGGUAGUCCCAGCUGUAAACGAUGCAGGCUAGGUGUUUGGACGGCUACGUGCCGUUCUAGUGCCGCAGGGAAGCCGUUAAGCCUGCCGCCUGGGGAGUACGGUCGCAAGGCUGAAACUUAAAGGAAUUGGCGGGGGAGCAC